GAUGAACGCUGGCGGCGUGCCUAAUACAUGCAAGUCGAGCGAACGGACGAGAAGCUUGCUUCUCUGAUGUUAGCGGCGGACGGGUGAGUAACACGUGGAUAACCUACCUAUAAGACUGGGAUAACUUCGGGAAACCGUAGCUAAUACCGGAUAAUAUUUUGAACCGCAUGGUUCAAAAGUGAAAGACGGUCUUGCUGUCACUUAUAGAUGGAUCCGCGCUGCAUUAGCUAGUUGGUAAGGUAACGGCUUACCAAGGCAACGAUGCAUAGCCGACCUGAGAGGGUGAUCGGCCACACUGGAACUGAGACACGGUCCAGACUCCUACGGGAGGCAGCAGUAGGGAAUCUUCCGCAAUGGGCGAAAGCCUGACGGAGCAACGCCGCGUGAGUGAUGAAGGUCUUCGGAUCGUAAAACUCUGUUAUUAGGGAAGAACAUAUGUGUAAGUAACUGUGCACAUCCUGACGGUACCUAAUCAGAAAGCCACGGCUAACUACGUG
rnacentral:rRNA from 1 species